rnacentral:rRNA from 1 species
GGCUUUUUUUUUUUUAAGUUUUUUCCCCUCGCCAGGACGAACGCUGGCGGCGUGCUUAACACAUGCAAGUCGAGCGGUAAGGCCUUUCGGGGUACACGAGCGGCGAACGGGUGAGUAACACGUGGGUGAUCUGCCCUGCACUUCGGGAUAAGCCUGGGAAACUGGGUCUAAUACCGGAUAUGACCUCCUAUCGCAUGGUGGGUGGUGGAAAGAUUUAUCGGUGCAGGAUGGGCCCGCGGCCUAUCAGCUUGUUGGUGGGGUAAUGGCCUACCAAGGCGACGACGGGUAGCCGACCUGAGAGGGUGACCGGCCACACUGGGACUGAGACACGGCCCAGACUCCUACGGGAGGCAGCAGUGGGGAAUAUUGCACAAUGGGCGAAAGCCUGAUGCAGCGACGCCGCGUGAGGGAUGACGGCCUUCGGGUUGUAAACCUCUUUCAGCAGGGACGAAGCGCAAGUGACGGUACCUGCAGAAGAAGCACCGGCUAACUACGUGCCAGCAGCCGCGGUAAUACGUAGGGUGCAAGCGUUGUCCGGAAUUACUGGGCGUAAAGAGUUCGUAGGCGGUUUGUCGCGUCGUUUGUGAAAACCAGCAGCUCAACUGCUGGCUUGCAGGCGAUACGGGCAGACUUGAGUACUGCAGGGGAGACUGGAAUUCCUGGUGUAGCGGUGAAAUGCGCAGAUAUCAGGAGGAACACCGGUGGCGAAGGCGGGUCUCUGGGCAGUAACUGACGCUGAGGAACGAAAGCGUGGGUAGCGAACAGGAUUAGAUACCCUGGUAGUCCACGCCGUAAACGGUGGGCGCUAGGUGUGGGUUCCUUCCACGGAAUCCGUGCCGUAGCUAACGCAUAAGCGCCCCGCUGGAUACCCGAACCUC